rnacentral:rRNA from 1 species
UACGGAGGGUGCGAGCGUUGUUCGGAAUCACUGGGCGUAAAGCGCGUGUAGGCGGCCUUGUAAGUUUGGUGUGAAAGCCCGGGGCUUACCCCCGGAAGUGCACUGGAGACUGCAAGGCUAGAGUACCGGAGAGGAAAGUGGAAUUCCUGGUGUAGCGGUGAAAUGCGUAGAUAUCAGGAGGAACACCGGUGGCGAAGGCGGCUUUCUGGACGGAUACUGACGCUGAGACGCGAAAGCGUGGGGAGCAAACAGGAUUAGAUACCCUGGUAGUCCACGCUGUAAACGAUGGGCACUAGGUGUUCGGGGUAUUGACCCCCUGAGUGCCGCAGCUAACGCAUUAAGUGCCCCGCCUGGGGAAUACGGCCGCAAGGUUAAA